rnacentral:rRNA from 1 species
AGCGCCAGGGAAUUACGAGCAAUGCUUAAAACCCAAAGGAUUUGACGGUAUCCCAUCCACCUAGAGGAGCCUGUUCUAUAAUCGAUAACCCCCGCUAUACCCAACCACUCCUAGCUUAUCAGCCUGUAUACCUCCGUCGAAAGCCUACCAUGUGAAUGUUCUUAGUAAGCUUAAUGUCCCCGUCAAAACGUCAGGUCAAGGUGCAGCUCAUGGAAUGGGAAGCAAUGGGCUACAAUUUCUAACUUAGAACAUACGAAAAACCAGGUGAAACCCUGGUCAUGAAGGCGGAUUUAGCAGUAAAAAGAAAAUAGAGUGUUCUUUUUAACCCGGCCCUGGGAUGUGUACACACCGCCCGUCACCCUCUUCAACUGUAAUUAACACUGUUUUAUAACUCCCCCCCCCACAUUCUAGAAGAGGCAAGUCGUAACAUGGUAAGUGUACUGGAAAGUGCACUUGGCUAACAA